rnacentral:rRNA from 1 species
GUGCCAGCCGCCGCGGUAAUACGUAGGGGGCAAGCGUUGUCCGGAUUUAUUGGGCGUAAAGAGCGUGUAGGCGGCCAGACAGGUCCGUUGUGAAAACUCGAGGCUCAACCUCGAGACGCCGAUGGAAACCGUUUGGCUAGAGUCCGGAAGAGGAGAGUGGAAUUCCCAGUGUAGAGGUGAAAUUCGUAGAUAUUGGGAAGAACACCGGUGGCGAAGGCGGCUCUCUGGACCGAUACUGACGCUGAGGCGCGAAAGCGUGGGGAGCAAACAGGAUUAGAUACCCUGGUAGUCCACGCCCUAAACGAUGGGUACUAGGUGUUCGGGGUGUUGACCCCCUGAGUGCCGCAGCUAACGCAUUAAGUACCCCGCCUGGGGACUACGGCCGCAAGGUUAAAACUCAAAUGAAUUGACGG